UAGGGAAUCUUCGGCAAUGGGGGCAACCCUGACCGAGCAACGCCGCGUGAGUGAAGAAGGUUUUCGGAUCGUAAAGCUCUGUUGUAAGUCAAGAACGAGUGUGAGAGUGGAAAGUUCACACUGUGACGGUAGCUUACCAGAAAGGGACGGCUAACUACGUGCCAGCAGCCGCGGUAAUACGUAGGUCCCGAGCGUUGUCCGGAUUUAUUGGGCGUAAAGAGAGCGCAGGCGGUUUGAUAAGUCUGAAGUUAAAGGCUGUGGCUCAACCAUAGUUCGCUUUGGAAACUGUCAAACUUGAGUGCAGAAGGGGAGAGUGGAAUUCCAUGUGUAGCGGUGAAAUGCGUAGAUAUAUGGAGGAACACCGGUGGCGAAAGCGGCUCUCUGGUCUGUAACUGACGCUGAGGCUCGAAAGCGUGGGGAGCGAACAGGAUUAGAUACCCUGGUAGUCCACGCCGUAAACGAUGAGUGCUAGGUGUUGGAUCCUUUCCGGGAUUCAGUGCCGCAGCUAACGCAUUAAGCACUCCGCCUGGGGAGUACGACCGCAAGGUUGAAACUC
rnacentral:rRNA from 1 species